rnacentral:ncRNA from 1 species
CAAACAGCAACGACCGGGAAAAGUACAUGGCACAGCACGUUCUUAGGGAUUUCACACCUCGACUGAAAAUGUGAAAAACGUCGCCCCAUCGAAUUCACCCUGCGAGCUGCACGCUAGGACCAGCAAUGUAAAAGCGUGCCGGCAAAGGACCGUUAUUCCAAAUCAAGUGAUUUUGCAUCACAUUCUUCAAGAUGCAAACUAAUCAGGGUGGUACCGCGAACUCGACCUCGUCCCUUUU